UCUGGUGAUUAAAUGAAAGUGAAACACCUCUUCCCUUUCCGAACAGAGAAGUUAAGCCUUUCAUCUCCGAUGGUACUGCAUGGGCAACUGUGUGGGAGAGUAGGAUUCGCCAGGU
rnacentral:rRNA from 2 species